AGUGGCUGGCGGGGGAAGCCAUGAGUGAGAAGGGCGGAUCCCCAUUAGUGCAUUCUUUAUCAGCAGGAAAACUGACUGGCAGAACGUUCAUUACAAGAAAUAGCUAAGAAUACCCGCAAAUGCUCCUGCUAGAGUGGCUGGCCAAUGAUGCUCACAGCAUUCAACUGGUUUACUAAUGCAAUUUCCAAAGUCUUCUACAUUUCCUCAAAAACCCAGCAUCAUCAGGUUCUUCAUAGCAACACCCUAGCCUCUUACAACUGGAACCUUGAGAGCCAAGGGAGAUUGUGGAGAGGAUGUGAGCAGAUGGCCGCUGAGGAUAGCUGACCGGGUGGGCUGGGACCCAGGCCAGGACCUGCCACCUGAGGAUUGUGCCUGCUAUGUCCAGAUGAUGAUGAGCCUCCAAAUAGGGGGCUUUGCUCUGCUGAAAAUCAUAAAGUUGAAAAAUGAAAAGAGAUAAAACCUUAAUGACAGGAGAAUGUUUUGUCUUUAGUGAAAAGGACAACUUCUUAAGAUUUAUUUUAUUUUUUAUUCUGUAUAUGUACGUGGGUAUGUUCAUGCAAAUUUGGGUGACUGAGGAGGUCAGGGUAUCUGAAGCUGGGACUACAGGCAAUUGGAAGCUACCAAGCAUAGGAAUCUAAUUGUUGUCCUUUGUAUGAGCAGAGAGUACUCCUAACUGCAGAGCCUUCUCCCUGCUUAAGGAGGACUUUUAGAAACAAGAUUGUUAGAGAAUAUAAAGGUUAUAAUUUGAUGUAUUUAAAAAGUUAACUUUUAUUCACUACAGACACUAGAAAUAAUAUUUACAAUGUAUAUAAUGCAUGUGAUUAUAAAACUAGAAGUAGCAAUAUUAAAUAUAAAUGAAUUAUUAUAAGUCAGAUAAGAGAGAUGGGCACCCCAGUAAGAAAAAGCCCACUAACGUAACUAAAAUGUGGACAAAUGACAGUGUAUUUUUUUAAUUUUUACAAUUGUAAUGUUAUAUGCAAACACUUUUUUGUAUAAAAAGGUGUUUAUUUUCACUGGGAAAAUGUGAAACACAAAGCAAGAGAGCCCUAUUGAACUAGCACAAAUUUAAGAUUUAGUAACAAGAACUAGCAAGGAGGUGAAGAUAUGAUACCCUUUUUUUGACAAUCUGACAGAAGCUUCUUAACUUACAACAUCCCCAAACCAUUUUCCAAAGCCAACUCUCAUCAUAGAACUCUUGAGCUAGCAAAAGAUACUAGUUUUAAUAUUGUUUAUAGUCUUGGAAGUAUGAAAACCAACUAUUUAUUGCAUGGAAUAUAGUUGUUAUAAAGUAAGUUAUGAUCAUUCUAUGGAGCAUUAUGCACCACUUAGAAAGAAUUAUCUAGGGUUUUAUACACAAUAGAGCUCUCCAGGAUGUUUUACUGGGGGAGAGAAGAUACACAAUCCUAAACAGAGUAACUCUCUUUGUUACAGAACAUGA